rnacentral:rRNA from 1 species
UGGGGAAUAUUGGACAAUGGAGGAAACUCUGAUCCAGCAAUUCUGUGUGUGUGAAGAAGGUUUUAGGACUGUAAAACACUUUUAGUAGGGAAGAAAAAAAUGACGGUACCUACAGAAGAAGCAACGGCUAAAUACGUGCCAGCAGCCGCGGUAAUACGUAUGUUGCGAGCGUUAUCCGGAAUUAUUGGGCUUAAAGGGCAUCUAGGCGGUAAGACAAGUUGAAGGUGAAAACCUGUGGCUCAACCAUAGGCUUGCCUUCAAAACUGUUGAACUAGAGUACUGGAAAGGUGGGUGGAACUACACGAGUAGAGGUGAAAUUCGUAGAUAUGUGUAGGAAUGCCGAUGAUGAAGAUAACUCACUGGACAGAAACUGACGCUGAAGUGCGAAAGCUAGGGGAGCAAACAGG